rnacentral:rRNA from 1 species
GACGAACGCUGGCGUGCGUGCUUAACACAUGCAAGUCGAACGGAAAGGCCCUGCUUUUGUGGGGUGCUCGAGUGGCGAACGGGUGAGUAACACGUGAGUAACCUGCCCUUGACUUUGGGAUAACUUCAGGAAACUGGGGCUAAUACCGGAUAGGAGCUCCUGCUGCAUGGUGGGGGUUGGAAAGUUUCGGCGGUUGGGGAUGGACUCGCGGCUUAUCAGCUUGUUGGUGGGGUAGUGGCUUACCAAGGCUUUGACGGGUAGCCGGCCUGAGAGGGUGACCGGCCACAUUGGGACUGAGAUACGGCCCAGACUCCUACGGGAGGCAGCAGUGGGGAAUAUUGCACAAUGGGCGGAAGCCUGAUGCAGCAACGCCGCGUGCGGGAUGACGGCCUUCGGGUUGUAAACCGCUUUCGCCUGUGACGAAGCGUGAGUGACGGUAAUGGGUAAAGAAGCACCGGCUAACUACGUGCCAGCAGCCGCGGUGAUACGUAGGGUGCGAGCGUUGUCCGGAUUUAUUGGGCGUAAAGGGCUCGUAGGUGGUUGAUCGCGUCGGAAGUGUAAUCUUGGGGCUUAACCCUGAGCGUGCUUUCGAUACGGGUUGACUUGAGGAAGGUAGGGGAGAAUGGAAUUCCUGGUGGAGCGGUGGAAUGCGCAGAUAUCAGGAGGAACACCAGUGGCGAAGGCGGUUCUCUGGGCCUUUCCUGACGCUGAGGAGCGAAAGCGUGGGGAGCGAACAGGCUUAGAUACCCUGGUAGUCCACGCUGUAAACGGUGGGUACUAGGUGUGGGGUCCAUUCCACGGGUUCCGUGCCGUAGCUAACGCUUUAAGUACCCCGCCUGGGGAGUACGGCCGCAAGGCUAAAACUCAAAGGAAUUGACGGGGCCCCGCACAAGCGGCGGAGCAUGCGGAUUAAUUCGAUGCAACGCGUAGAACCUUACCUGGGUUUGACAUGGAUCGGGAGUGCUCAGAGAUGGGUGUGCCUCUUUUGGGGUCGGUUCACAGGUGGUGCAUGGCUGUCGUCAGCUCGUGUCGUGAGAUGUUGGGUUAAGUCCCGCAACGAGCGCAACCCUUGUUCACUGUUGCCAGCACGUUAUGGUGGGGACUCAGUGGAGACCGCCGGGGUCAACUCGGAGGAAGGUGGGGAUGACGUCAAGUCAUCAUGCCCCUUAUGUCCAGGGCUUCACGCAUGCUACAAUGGCUGGUACAGAGAGUGGCGAGCCUGUGAGGGUGAGCGAAUCUCGGAAAGCCGGUCUCAGUUCGGAUUGGGGUCUGCAACUCGACCUCAUGAAGUCGGAGUCGCUAGUAAUCGCAGAUCAGCAACGCUGCGGUGAAUACGUUCCCGGG